rnacentral:rRNA from 1 species
UACGAAGGGGGCUAGCGUUGUUCGGAAUCACUGGGCGUAAAGCGCACGUUAGGCGGAUCUUUAAGUCAGGGGUGAAAUCCCGAGGCUCAACCUCGGAACUGCCUUUGAUACUGGGUGUCUUGAGUAUGGAAGAGGGUGAGUGGAAUUCCGAGUGUAGAGGUGAAAUUCGUAGAUAUUAGGAAGAACACCAGUGGCGAAGGCGGCUCACUGGCCCAGUUACUGGACGCUGAGGUGCGAAAGCGUGGGGGAGCAAACAGGG